AUACGGAGGGUGCAAGCGUUGUUCGGAAUCACUGGGCGUAAAGGGCGCGCAGGCGGUUUGGUAAGUCAGAUGUGAAAGCCCACGGCUCAACCGUGGAAGUGCAUUUGAAACUGUCAGACUCGAGUACUAGAGGGGAAAGUGGAAUUCCCGGUGUAGAGGUGAAAUUCGUAGAUAUCGAGGAAUACCGGUGGCGAAGGCGACUUUCUGGCUAGAUACUGACGCUGAGGCGCGAAAGCGUGGGGAGCAAACAGGAUUAGAUACCCCAGUAGUCC
rnacentral:rRNA from 1 species